rnacentral:rRNA from 1 species
GUGCCAGCCGCCGCGGUAACACGUAGGGACCAAGCGUUGUCCGGAUUCAUUGGGCGUAAAGAGCUCGUAGGCGGCUCAGUAAGUCGGGUGUGAAACCUCCAGGCUCAACCUGGAGACGCCACCCGAUACUGCUGUGGCUAGAGUCCAGUAGGGGAGCGUGGAAUUCCUGGUGUAGCGGUGAAAUGCGCAGAUAUCAGGAGGAACACCAGCGGCGAAGGCGGCGCUCUGGGCUGGAACUGACGCUGAGGAGCGAAAGCGUGGGGAGCGAACAGGAUUAGAUACCCCCGUAGUCC